rnacentral:rRNA from 1 species
GAUGAACGCUAGCGACAGGCCUAACACAUGCAAGUCGAGGGGCAGCACGAGGUAGCAAUACUAGGGGUGGCGACCGGCGGACGGGUGAGUAACACGUAUGCAACCUGCCCGUAAUCGGGGGAUAACCCGGAGAAAUUCGGACUAACACUCCAUGUAUCUGUAUUAUUGCAUGAUAAAACAGAUAAACGCAAGGAUUACGGAUGGGCAUGCGGAUGAUUAGCUGGUUGGCGGGGUAACGGCCCACCAAGGCGACGAUCAUUAGGGGUUCUGAGAGGAAGGUCCCCCACAUUGGAACUGAGAAACGGUCCAAACUCCUACGGGAGGCAGCAGUGAGGAAUAUUGGUCAAUGGGCGAGAGCCUGAACCAGCCAAGUCGCGUGAAGGAAGAAGGUCUUAUGGAUUGUAAACUUCUUUAGCAGGGGAAUAAAGGUUAUUACGAGCUAAUAAUUUGCAGGUACUCUGCGAAAAAGGAUCGGCUAACUCCGUG